UUAAGUUAUUAAGGGCGCACGGUGGAUGCCUUGGCACUAGAAGCCGAUGAAGGACGUUACUAACGACGAUAUGCUUUGGGGAGCUGUAAGUAAGCUUUGAUCCAGAGAUUUCCGAAUGGGGAAACCCAGCAUGAGUUAUGUCAUGUUAUCGAUAUGUGAAUACAUAGCAUAUCAGAAGGCACACCCGGAGAACUGAAACAUCUUAGUACCCGGAGGAAGAGAAAGAAAAUUCGAUUCCCUUAGUAGCGGCGAGCGAAACGGGAAGAGCCCAAACCAACAAGCUUGCUUGUUGGGGUUGUAGGACACUCUAUACGGAGUUACAAAGGACGACAUUAGACGAAUCAUCUGGAAAGAUGAAUCAAAGAAGGUAAUAAUCCUGUAGUCGAAAAUGUUGUCUCUCUUGAGUGGAUCCUGAGUACGACGGAGCACGUGAAAUUCCGUCGGAAUCUGGGAGGACCAUCUCCUAAGGCUAAAUACUCUCUAGUGACCGAUAGUGAACCAGUACCGUGAGGGAAAGGUGAAAAGCACCCCGGAAGGGGAGUGAAAUAGAACCUGAAACCGUGUGCUUACAAGUAGUCAGAGCCCGUUAAUGGGUGAUGGCGUGCCUUUUGUAGAAUGAACCGGCGAGUUACGAUUUGAUGCAAGGUUAAGCAGUAAAUGUGGAGCCGUAGCGAAAGCGAGUCUGAAUAGGGCGUUUAGUAUUUGGUCGUAGACCCGAAACCAGGUGAUCUACCCUUGGUCAGGUUGAAGUUCAGGUAACACUGAAUGGAGGACCGAACCGACUUACGUUGAAAAGUGAGCGGAUGAACUGAGGGUAGCGGAGAAAUUCCAAUCGAACCUGGAGAUAGCUGGUUCUCUCCGAAAUAGCUUUAGGGCUAGCCUCAAGUGAUGAUUAUUGGAGGUAGAGCACUGUUUGGACGAGGGGCCCCUCUCGGGUUACCGAAUUCAGACAAACUCCGAAUGCCAAUUAAUUUAACUUGGGAGUCAGAACAUGGGUGAUAAGGUCCGUGUUCGAAAGGGAAACAGCCCAGACCACCAGCUAAGGUCCCAAAAUAUAUGUUAAGUGGAAAAGGAUGUGGCGUUGCCCAGACAACUAGGAUGUUGGCUUAGAAGCAGCCAUCAUUUAAAGAGUGCGUAAUAGCUCACUAGUCGAGUGACACUGCGCCGAAAAUGUACCGGGGCUAAACAUAUUACCGAAGCUGUGGAUUGUCCUUUGGACAAUGGUAGGAGAGCGUUCUAAGGGCGUUGAAGCAUGAUCGUAAGGACAUGUGGAGCGCUUAGAAGUGAGAAUGCCGGUGUGAGUAGCGAAAGACGGGUGAGAAUCCCGUCCACCGAUUGACUAAGGUUUCCAGAGGAAGGCUCGUCCGCUCUGGGUUAGUCGGGUCCUAAGCUGAGGCCGACAGGCGUAGGCGAUGGAUAACAGGUUGAUAUUCCUGUACCACCUAUAAUCGUUUUAAUCGAUGGGGGGACGCAGUAGGAUAGGCGAAGCGUGCGAUUGGAUUGCACGUCUAAGCAGUAAGGCUGAGUAUUAGGCAAAUCCGGUACUCGUUAAGGCUGAGCUGUGAUGGGGAGAAGACAUUGUGUCUUCGAGUCGUUGAUUUCACACUGCCGAGAAAAGCCUCUAGAUAGAAAAUAGGUGCCCGUACCGCAAACCGACACAGGUAGUCAAGAUGAGAAUUCUAAGGUGAGCGAGCGAACUCUCGUUAAGGAACUCGGCAAAAUGACCCCGUAACUUCGGGAGAAGGGGUGCUCUUUAGGGUUAACGCCCAGAAGAGCCGCAGUGAAUAGGCCCAAGCGACUGUUUAUCAAAAACACAGGUCUCUGCUAAACCGUAAGGUGAUGUAUAGGGGCUGACGCCUGCCCGGUGCUGGAAGGUUAAGAGGAGUGGUUAGCUUCUGCGAAGCUACGAAUCGAAGCCCCAGUAAACGGCGGCCGUAACUAUAACGGUCCUAAGGUAGCGAAAUUCCUUGUCGGGUAAGUUCCGACCCGCACGAAAGGCGUAACGAUUUGGGCACUGUCUCAACGAGAGACUCGGUGAAAUCAUAGUACCUGUGAAGAUGCAGGUUACCCGCGACAGGACGGAAAGACCCCGUGGAGCUUUACUGUAGCCUGAUAUUGAAAUUCGGCACAGCUUGUACAGGAUAGGUAGGAGCCUUUGAAACGUGAGCGCUAGCUUACGUGGAGGCGCUAGUGGGAUACUACCCUAGCUGUGUUGGCUUUCUAACCCGCACCACUUAUCGUGGUGGGAGACAGUGUCAGGCGGGCAGUUUGACUGGGGCGGUCGCCUCCUAAAAGGUAACGGAGGCGCUCAAAGGUUCCCUCAGAAUGGUUGGAAAUCAUUCAUAGAGUGUAAAGGCAUAAGGGAGCUUGACUGCGAGACCUACAAGUCGAGCAGGGUCGAAAGACGGACUUAGUGAUCCGGUGGUUCCGCAUGGAAGGGCCAUCGCUCAACGGAUAAAAGCUACCCCGGGGAUAACAGGCUUAUCUCCCCCAAGAGUUCACAUCGACGGGGAGGUUUGGCACCUCGAUGUCGGCUCAUCGCAUCCUGGGGCUGUAGUCGGUCCCAAGGGUUGGGCUGUUCGCCCAUUAAAGCGGUACGCGAGCUGGGUUCAGAACGUCGUGAGACAGUUCGGUCCCUAUCCGUCGUGGGCGUAGGAAAUUUGAGAGGAGCUGUCCUUAGUACGAGAGGACCGGGAUGGACAUACCUCUGGUGUACCAGUUGUCGUGCCAACGGCAUAGCUGGGUAGCUAUGUGUGGACGGGAUAAGUGCUGAAAGCAUCUAAGCAUGAAGCCCCCCUCAAGAUGAGAUUUCCCAACUUCGGUUAUAAGAUCCCUCAAAGAUGAUGAGGUUAAUAGGUUCGAGGUGGAAGCAUGGUGACAUGUGGAGCUGACGAAUACUAAUCGAUCGAAGACUUAAUCAA
rnacentral:rRNA from 1 species